CAAGUCGAGCGAACGGACGAGAAGCUUGCUUCUCUGAUGUUAGCGGCGGACGGGUGAGUAACACGUGGAUAACCUACCUAUAAGACUGGGAUAACUUCGGGAAACCGGAGCUAAUACCGGAUAAUAUUUUGAACCGCAUGGUUCAAAAGUGAAAGACGGUCUUGCUGUCACUUAUAGAUGGAUCCGCGCUGCAUUAGCUAGUUGGUAAGGUAACGGCUUACCAAGGCAACGAUGCAUAGCCGACCUGAGAGGGUGAUCGGCCACACUGGAACUGAGACACGGUCCAGACUCCUACGGGAGGCAGCAGUAGGGAAUCUUCCGCAAUGGGCGAAAGCCUGACGGAGCAACGCCGCGUGAGUGAUGAAGGUCUUCGGAUCGUAAAACUCUGUUAUUAGGGAAGAACAUAUGUGUAAGUAACUGUGCACAUCUUGACGGUACCUAAUCAGAAAGCCACGGCUAACUACGUGCCAGCAGCCGCGGUAAUACGUAGGUGGCAAGCGUUAUCCGGAAUUAUUGGGCGUAAAGCGCGCGUAGGCGGUUUUUUAAGUCUGAUGUGAAAGCCCACGGCUCAACCGUGGAGGGCCAUUGGAAACUGGAAAACUUGAGUGCAGAAGAGGAAGUGGAAUUCCAUGUGUAGCGGUGAAAUGCGCAGAGAUAUGGAGGAACACCAGUGGCGAAGGCGACUUUCUGGUCUGUAACUGACGCUGAUGUGCGAAAGCGUGGGGAUCAAAC
rnacentral:rRNA from 1 species